AUAUGACGUGCUUGCACUGAGAUUGACGUUGGAUUACCAGUGAGCGGCGGACGGGUGAGUAACACGUGGGCAACCUGCCCUGAAGCGGGGGAUAACAUCUGGAAACAGGUGCUAAUACCGCAUAACAACGAAAACCACAUGGUUUUCGUUUCAAAGAUGGUUUCGGCUAUCACUUCAGGAUGGGCCCGCGGUGCAUUAGCUAGUUGGUAAGGUAACGGCUUACCAAGGCAAUGAUGCAUAGCCGAGUUGAGAGACUGAUCGGCCACAAUGGAACUGAGACACGGUCCAUACUCCUACGGGAGGCAGCAGUAGGGAAUCUUCCACAAUGGGCGCAAGCCUGAUGGAGCAACACCGCGUGAGUGAAGAAGGGUUUCGGCUCGUAAAGCUCUGUUGUUGGAGAAGAACGUGCGUGAGAGUAACUGUUCACGCAGUGACGGUAUCCAACCAGAAAGUCACGGCUAACUACGUGCCAGCAGCCGCGGUAAUACGUAGGUGGCAAGCGUUAUCCGGAUUUAUUGGGCGUAAAGCGAGCGCAGGCGGUUGCUUAGGUCUGAUGUGAAAGCCUUCGGCUUAACCGAAGAAGGGCAUCGGAAACCGGGCGACUUGAGUGCAGAAGAGGACAGUGGAACUCCAUGUGUAG
rnacentral:rRNA from 1 species